rnacentral:lncRNA from 1 species
AGACUCUUGAUGCUUUUCAUUACCUUGGUGGAAGAAAAAGAAGGAAUGAAAUGCAAAAGCACAAUGGGAAGACUUUUAAUAGAGUGUCUUCCCAGGUGAAGGAGCAUUACAAGUGCUACAGUCUUCAACAUAAUCUAUGGCUGCUGAACUUAAUACACCCUGCAUUGACCAUUUUGCAAAAUAAUGAUGCUCUCUCCUUAUCAGCUCAUCUGCUGCCAGUCAAUAAUUUAUCUGAACGGAUUCUUUCAGCAUCAAUAUACAGUGCAAGUCCAGGUGAGGCAUUGGCUGUAAUAAUAGUGGGCCAUGGUGCAGCAGACAGGUUUUAAAGUGCCCAUUGCUUAUACUGGCAAAAUGGAUACUAAGUAAUGUUUGUUGUUUUCUGGAAGGCAAAACAUCUGGAACUAUGUACAAAUUGUUCCCAGAAGAAAAUGCACCUUUGAAUGUGUGUAAAAAUCUGAGUGCUGUUGUUCAUUUGGAAUUCUGGCUUGUGUGCAUAUUUAAUCUUAUACUUUCUGUCUGUUUUAUAUCCAAGGAAUAAAGCUUCAUACCAAAGGAGCCUGGUAUAAUAUAGUCAGAUGUGUUUAGUGACUUUGGGGGAAAAGUCCCCCACCUAUACUAUAAUUCUCUUCUACCUCCAUCCUUUUUUUUUUUUUCUCAUGCUGAGAGCAGUAAUUACUUCCAAGAUUUCUUCAAAGAAAUUUUUGAAUUUUUAUCCUUCGAUCCUAGUUUUCUUUCCAAUUUGAAAUGAUUUUUAAAGUCACUCAGGAAGAUGCUGAGCACUUACGGAUCAUCCUAUGUCCAUUGUCCAAGAGUAAGUGUGAAGUAGGUACUUGCUUACUUCGUUAGAAAGCUGUAGUGUCUGCUAUUCUUGGGGGGGAAGGCAAUGGAUAUUGUAGGGAGAGAAAGAAAGCACUUGGUUGUUGGGAGGAGAGGGGAAAGGUUGUCACGUCCCCAAAUUCCUACAUUUUCCCUCCUCAGAGGAUCAUUUUCAAACUUCUGUUAUAGACAAUGAAUUGAAGUUUAUUUUUUGCUUCUACAACCCCCCCCCCCCAAUACCUUUAAUGUCAGCUAACUGCUAGCUUGAAAAAUUGAGUGGGAUUUUCCCAGGUAAGCUUAAAAUAUUUGACUGCCUGUUGUCAACUUUGAUUUUGUGUGAGGCCAUGCUUGCCAUUGUCAUGGCUGACGGAAGCCAUUUGGCUUCCAAACAGUUCCACAUAGGAACUUUUAGUGUGGUUUAUAUUCAUAAAUUUAAAUUAUGCUUAAGCCAAUUCCAGUGAUGAGUUUGACCCAAGUUUAAUAGAGCAAUGGAUUCAUGAAUCACCUUUGUGAAAUUUUAAGAAUGAUCUUGUACUGUCAAAGCAAAGGAUAGUGACUUAAAGCAUUUUCCAGUGUUUGAUUAUGAAUUACACAACAAUGCAUGUUCACAUGGAGGCUUCAGUGCAGCUGCAGUGAGUAAUGAAGCUGGGUUUCUCGAGGGAUAAGGUAUCAUGGCUAUAUUUACCAUCUGAUUGGAUGGAGUUUCCUACACUCCAAGGAGACUGUGACUUACUUCUGAAGUCCUGUCUGCACUAUUCUCAUGGUGAAAAGAAAUUUUCCAGAAAUGGGAGUCUAGGGAAAUAAUAAUUAUUUCUUUAUGCUGCUGAGACUUGAGUGGAUGUUCAACAGUCCUUGUUUAAAUUCAUAACUUGUGAGAAGAAGUUUUAGGGCAGCUUUUGUUCGGUUGUAAAUAUAAUUAUGUAUUCAACUAGCAAUGGAGGUAUAAAUAAUUCACUUUUGAACAUUUUGUAAUUAGCUGAGACAUAAAUACUGGAUUAAGGGUUUCACUGACAGAAUUUCCAUUGGAGUUCAUGCUUUUUAUUAACUAUUUUCCUCUGAUACAGUUAGAACACUCCUAAGUAUACUUGAACAUAUGUGCAUGUGUAAACACAAAUGCUCACAUAGGUAGGAGUAUCAUAUGCUAUGUCCAACCUCAAAUAGGGCUAAAAAUUUUAAUGAAUUGGGCAACCCUGUCAUGAAUCCUAACUGUUUCCUGAUGAGAUAAACAAUGACUCUUAAUUAGAAGCUAAAAUUUUUAAUUAAGAUGAUUCUGCAGUAAUUAUCUCAGUUGUCUGCUUCACUGGAUUUUAAUGAAAAAGAUUGAUUAGGUAUAAAACUAGUAGCAUAAUUAAACAUUCAGGGGUGCACUGGCCACUGAGGUGCAAGUAAUGUGAUUAAACCUUAAAGUACAUUCCAAAAAUAAAAAACCC